rnacentral:rRNA from 1 species
UGGGUUGCCUUGUCAGGUUGAUUCCGGUAACGAACGAGACCUCAGACUGCUAAAUAGCCACAUCUGCCUCUCGCAGCUGGCCGACUUCUUAGAGGGACUAUUGUCGUUUAGGCAAUGGAAGUAUGAGGCAA